rnacentral:rRNA from 1 species
ACAGCAGUCGCCGCGGUAAUACGUAGGGUGCAAGCGUUAAUCGGAAUUACUGGGCGUAAAGCGUGCGCAGGCGGUUAUAUAAGACAGAUGUGAAAUCCCCGGGCUCAACCUGGGAACUGCAUUUGUGACUGUAUAGCUAGAGUACGGCAGAGGGGGAUGGAAUUCCGCGUGUAGCAGUGAAAUGCGUAGAUAUGCGGAGGAACACCGAUGGCGAAGGCAAUCCCCUGGGCCUGUACUGACGCUCAUGCACGAAAGCGUGUGGAGCAAACAGGAUUAGAUACCCCGUAGUCCCUGUCUCUUAUACA